rnacentral:rRNA from 1 species
AUUGAACGCUGGCGGCAGGCCUAACACAUGCAAGUCGAGCGGAUGAAGGGGGCUUGCUCCUGGAUUCAGCGGCGGACGGGUGAGUAAUGCCUAGGAAUCUGCCUGGUAGUGGGGGAUAACGUCCGGAAACGGGCGCUAAUACCGCAUACGUCCUGAGGGAGAAAGUGGGGGAUCUUCGGACCUCACGCUAUCAGAUGAGCCUAGGUCGGAUUAGCUAGCUGGUGGGGUAAAGGCCUACCAAGGCGACGAUCCGUAACUGGUCUGAGAGGAUGAUCAGUCACACUGGAACUGAGACACGGUCCAGACUCCUACGGGAGGCAGCAGUGGGGAAUAUUGGACAAUGGGCGAAAGCCUGAUCCAGCCAUGCCGCGUGUGUGAAGAAGGUCUUCGGAUUGUAAAGCACUUUAAGUUGGGAGGAAGGGCAGUAAGUUAAUACCUUGCUGUUUUGACGUUACCAACAGAAUAAGCACCGGCUAACUUCGUG